rnacentral:rRNA from 1 species
AUUGAACGCUGGCGGCAGGCCUAACACAUGCAAGUCGAACGGUAACAGGAAGAAGCUUGCUUCUUUGCUGACGAGUGGCGGACGGGUGAGUAAUGUCUGGGAAACUGCCUGAUGGAGGGGGAUAACUACUGGAAACGGUAGCUAAUACCGCAUAACGUCGCAAGACCAAAGAGGGGGACCUUCGGGCCUCUUGCCAUCGGAUGUGCCCAGAUGGGAGUAGCUAGUAGGUGGGGUAACGGCUCACCUAGGCGACGAUCCCUAGCUGGUCUGAGAGGAUGACCAGCCACACUGGAACUGAGACACGGUCCAGACUCCUACGGGAGGCAGCAGUGGGGAAUAUUGCACAAUGGGCGCAAGCCUGAUGCAGCCAUGCCGCGUGUAUGAAGAAGGCCUUCGGGUUGUAAAGUACUUUCAGCGGGGAGGAAGGGAGUAAAGUUAAUACCUUGGCUCAUUGACGUUACCCGCAGAAGAAGCACCGGCUAACUCCGUG